UACGGGGGGGGUAAGCGUUGUUCGGAAUUACUGGGCGUAAAGGGCUCGUAGGCGGCCUUCUAAGUCGAACGUGAAAUCCCCGGGCUCAACCCGGGAACUGCGUCCGAUACUGGAAGGCUUGAAUCCGGGAGAGGGAUGCGGAAUUCCAGGUGUAGCGGUGAAAUGCGUAGAUAUCUGGAGGAACACCGGUGGCGAAGGCGGCAUCCUGGACCGGCAUUGACGCUGAGGCGCGAAAGCGUGGGGAGCAAACAGG
rnacentral:rRNA from 1 species